AUGAGUGAGCAGGAGGUCACUUUCCCAACUAUGAGAUUCCACAAGUCUUCAGGGUUGAACAGCCAGGUGAGACUUGAGGGGACUCAGAGAUCUAGAAAAGCUGGCCUAAGAGUGUGUUCAGUCCCUUGGCAGCUCAUUGUGAUAGCUCUUGGAAUCCUCUGUUCCUUUCGGCUGGUAAUUGUUGCAGGGUUUGUGGCAAACGUUUUUCAGUAUAGUCAACACAAACAAGAAAUCCAUGAAACUCUCAACCACCACCAUAACUGCAGCAACAUGCAAAGGGAUUUCAACUUAAAGGAAGAAAUGUCGACAAAUAAGUCUAUAGAUUGUAGGCCAAGCAAUGAACUUCUGGAAUACAUCAACAGAGAACAGGAGAGAUGGGACAGUGAAACCAAGAGUGUUUCAGAUUCUUCACGAGACACAGGCAGAGGUGUUAAAUACAGGUUCUGCUAUGGUACUAAAUGGUAUUAUUUCAUCAUGAACAAAACUACAUGGAGUGGAUGUAAAGCGAACUGCCAGCAUUACAGCUUACCCUUUGUGAAGAUAGAAGAUGAAGAUGAACUGAAAUUCCUUCAAUGCCAUGUUAUUCCAGAGAGUUACUGGAUUGGAUUGUCAUAUGAUAAGAAAAAAAAAGGAAUGGGUGUGGAUUGACAAUGGCCAAUCUAAACUUGACAUGAAAAUAAGGAAAAUGAACUUUAAGUCUAUAGGAUGUUUAUUUUUAUCUAAAGCAAGAAUAGAAGAUACUAACUGUAAUACUCCCUACUACUGUAUUUGUGGGAAGAAACUGGAUAAUUUCCCUGAUUAA